rnacentral:SRP_RNA from 1 species
GCCGGGUGUGGUGGCGCAGGCCUGUAAUCCCAGCUACUUGGGAGGCUGAGGCAGGAGAAUCACUUGAACCUGGGAAGUAGAGGUUGCAGUGAGCCAAGAUUGAUUGCACCACUGCACUCCCGCCUGGGUGACAGAGUGAGACCCUGCCUCCA